rnacentral:tRNA from 1 species
GCCUCCAUAGCUCAAUGGCAGAGCGACGGUUUUGUAAACCGCUGACGUCAGUUCGAUUCUGACUGGAGGCU